GCGUCCGUAGCUCAGCUGGAUAGAGCAUUGGACUUCGAAUCCAAGGGUCGCAGGUUCAAGUCCUGCCGGGCGCG
rnacentral:tRNA from 1 species